rnacentral:rRNA from 1 species
UUUAGAGGAAGUAAAAGUCGUAACAAGGUUUCCUUCCCCGGGCCCCCGCCUGCCGAAGCCUCGCCGCAGCGACUCGAAAUAACUGCGUAGUUGGUAGCGCUGCCUACCGGCCACACUGUCACUGCGCUGGAAGCCUCUUCAGGGGUUAUCAGCGACCUGAAUCCUACCGGAUCCGGGCUCACAGAUCAAACGACGGUGGCCGCCUUCCUGGGGCGGUUUAGAUAUGACCGAUUCUCCAGAGGUUCCUCUGGAGAAACCUUUUAGUUCCGUAGGUGAACCUGCGGAAGGAUCAUUACCGAGAUAGGGUUCCUUCGGGGCCCGACCCUCCCACCCUUUGUGUAUUUUACCUCUGUUGCUUCGGCGGCCCCCGUGGGGUAGGUGGUGUUAGACCCGCCGAGCCCGGCCCGCCAAGAGGCCUUUUUCUAAUUCUGAAUUUAUCAGUGACGUCUGAGCACAUUGCAAAAAUUAAAACUUUCAACAACGGAUCUCUUGGUUCUGGCAUCGAUGAAGAACGCAGCGAAAUGCGAUAAGUAAUGUGAAUUGCAAAAUUCAGUGAAUCAUCGAAUCUUUGAACGCACAUUGCGCCCUCUGGUAUUCCGGGGGGCAUGCCUGUUCGAGCGUCAUUACACCUCUCAAGCUCAGCUUGGUAUUGGGCUUCCGUCCCUCGUUGGGCGAGUCUGAAAAUUAGUGGCAGUGCAGCCGGUACUCAAGCGCAGUAACAUUAUUAUAUCCCGCUUUGGAGUUACCGGGUGAACCCGCCAGACAACCCUAAAUU